rnacentral:rRNA from 1 species
GUCGCCUCCUAAAAGGUAACGGAGGCGCUCAAAGGUUCCCUCAGAAUGGUUGGAAAUCAUUCAUAGAGUGUAAAGGCAUAAGGGAGCUUGACUGCGAGACCUACAAGUCGAGCAGGGUCGAAAGACGGACUUAGUGAUCCGGUGGUUCCGCAUGGAAGGGCCAUCGCUCAACGGAUAAAAGCUACCCCGGGGAUAACAGGCUUAUCUCCCCCAAGAGUUCACAUCGACGGGGAGGUUUGGCACCUCGAUGUCGGCUCAUCGCAUCCUGGGGCUGUAGUCGGUCCCAAGGGUUGGGCUGUUCGCCCAUUAAAGCGGUACGCGAGCUGGGUUCAGAACGUCGUGAGACAGUUCGGUCCCUAUCCGUCGUGGGCGUAGGAAAUUUGAGAGGAGCUGUCCUUAGUACGAGAGGACCGGGAUGGACAUACCUCUGGUGUACCAGUUGUCGUGCCAACGGCAUAGCUGGGUAGCUAUGUGUGGACGGGAUAAGUGCUGAAAGCAUCUAAGCAUGAAGCCCCCCUCAAGAUGAGAUUUCCCAACUUCGGUUAUAAGAUCCCUCAAAGAUGA